AAUCAACCAAAUUUUUAUUAAUUACGAUAAAUAUCAUGUGGAGAAAAUUAAAUAAGUUCAAUGCGGCCAAAUGCUCGAAUAAUUAAGGUUUUCUAAAUCAAGUAAGCACAACGAUGGGUGGAGUGUUACAUGGAUCCCACAGAUAGAGAAAUUUUUCUCUGUCUUAGACCUAACCGAUGAGAAAAAAGUUCUCCUAGCAGCAUUCAUGCUAAUUGGUGUAGCUAAACACUAGUGGCAACUUAAAAAGGAAGUCCUACCCACCUCUACAACUUGGGAAGUUUUCAUGAAUGUAUUCUUUGAGAACUACUUCCCAGUCUAUGUCUGAGAGAAGAAGGAGGAGGUAUUUUAGGAU
rnacentral:lncRNA from 1 species